AGUGAACGCUGGCGGUAGGCCUAACACAUGCAAGUCGAACGGCAGCACAGUAAGAGCUUGCUCUUACGGGUGGCGAGUGGCGGACGGGUGAGGAAUACAUCGGAAUCUACUUUUUCGUGGGGGAUAACGUAGGGAAACUUACGCUAAUACCGCAUACGACCUACGGGUGAAAGCAGGGGAUCUUCGGACCUUGCGCGAUUGAAUGAGCCGAUGUCGGAUUAGAUAGUUGGCGGGGUAAAGGCCCACCACGGCGACGAUCCGUAGCUGGUCUGAGAGGAUGAUCAGCCACACUGGAACUGAGACACGGUCCAGACUCCUACGGGAGGCAGCAGUGGGGAAUAUUGGACAAUGGGCGCAAGCCUGAUCCAGCCAUACCGCGUGGGUGAAGAAGGCCUUCGGGUUGUAAAGCCCUUUUGUUGGGAAAGAAAAGCAGCAGGUUAAUACCCCGCUGUUCUGACGGUACCCAAAGAAUAAGCACCGGCUAACUUCGUG
rnacentral:rRNA from 1 species